rnacentral:lncRNA from 1 species
GAAAGCUUAGGCUCAUCUUGCUAAAAUCCCUACGCAGAGUUGCAUACAUUCAUCAAAGAGGGAAGAUUUUGAAUAUUUCUUUGGUCAAUUGAUACAAUGAGUACACGAGAAAAGGAAAAAGACGAAAAAGAAAUCUCAAGUCAGAGGAUACGCCUGGAUGAUCCAAGAGGCAAGGGGAAUUGGCUUCAUUAGAACCCAGCAGGAUAAUCGAGGGGAGGACCACGCCUUAGAGAGGACCUUGACCAUCAGACAGAACAGACACACUACUCCACUAAUCACUCUCUAUUCACUCAGCAGAGAACCACUCAGCAAUCCCCCAUAAUACAAAAAUCCAUCCCAACAUCCUGAGGGGAAUCCAUCCUUCAUGGCUCCCUCUCACA